rnacentral:misc_RNA from 1 species
CUCAACCGCAAGGAGGGGGAUGCCUAAGGCAGGGCUAGUGACUGGGGUGAAGUCGUAACAAGGUAGCCGUACCGGAAGGUGUGGCUGGAUCACCUCCUUAAAGGGAGACCUAACUCAGGUAGGAGACGAAAAAAAAGUAGUCCCAACCAAGAAUCAAUCCCAAAAGGUCGGAGCGAGGCGAAAUUGGCUUUCAAACUAGGUUCUGGGUUCACACAAGACCUGAAUCAGGAACAAGGGCUAUUAGCUCAGGUGGUUAGAGCGCACCCCUGAUAAGGGUGAGGUCCCUGGUUCGAGUCCAGGAUGGCCCACCUGCACAGGUGGCAAAAACAAGAGAAGCGAGGAAUCAGCACCUUAUCUUAUCUAUAUAUAUAUAGGAGAGAAUGCUGGCUCUGAGUAAAGAGUCCAGAGGAACCUUGAAAACUGCAUAGAGCUAGGUGAAAAAGCCAAAAAGAAGACCGCAAGGUCAAGCUAAUAAGGGCUAACGGUG